AACGAACGCUGGCGGCAUGCCUAACACAUGCAAGUCGAACGAUGCUUUCGGGCAUAGUGGCGCACGGGUGCGUAACGCGUGGGAAUCUGCCCUUGGGUUCGGAAUAACCGUUGGAAACGACGGCUAAUACCGGAUGAUGUCGAUAAGACCAAAGAUUUAUCGCCUGAGGAUGAGCCCGCGUAGGAUUAGCUAGUUGGUGUGGUAAGAGCGCACCAAGGCGACGAUCCUUAGCUGGUCUGAGAGGAUGAUCAGCCACACUGGGACUGAGACACGGCCCAGACGCCUACGGGAGGCAGCAGUGGGGAAUAUUGGACAAUGGGCGCAAACCUGAUCCAGCAAUGCCGCGUGAGUGAUGAAGGCCUUAGGGUUGUAAAGCUCUUUUACCCGGGAUGAUAAUGACAGUACCGGGAGAAUAAGCUCCGGCUAACUCCGUGCCAGCAGCCGCAGUAA
rnacentral:rRNA from 1 species